rnacentral:rRNA from 1 species
UGUGUAGGCGGUUCUCCAAGUUUGGUGUGAAAUCUCCCGGCUCAACCGGGAGGGUGCGCCGAAAACUGGAGGGCUAGAGUGCGGGAGGGGAGAGUGGAAUUCCUGGUGUAGCGGUGAAAUGCGUAGAUAUCAGGAGGAACACCGGUGGUGUAGACGGCUCUCUGGACCGUAACUGACGCUGAGACACGAAAGCGUGGGUAGCAAACAGGAUUAGAUACCCUGGUAGUCCACGCCCUAAACGAUGCAUAUUUGGUGCGGGUCAUUCAGUUGAUCCGUGCCGGAGCUAACGCGUUAAAUAUGCCGCCUGGGGAGUACAGUCGCAAGGCUGAA